GGAACCCAGAGAGGGACAAAAGGAUUCCCACCUUAUGCAAAAGAUAUAUAAAGGGGUGGAACAGAACAAAGAGAGGAGUGGAGUCAUAAUGAAAAAUCCCCUAGCUAUCACCUGAGCUGGAAAAAGAGCUGUACCAAGGGGAAGAAUUGUGCCCAGCCUGGAAGAUGUCCAGUGUGAGGAAAAACUUACUGAAGCAUCUCUGAGGCUGGCUUGCCACAGGUGGCAGAGAAGGCAGACUGUGUUUCAAAUGGGAUGGAGACCAACAGUUGGAAGUACAACAUUGGUCCACGAAUAAUGAAGACAGGCAAAUAAGGCUUUUCAAGAGCUUCACUAGAAAUUUAACUGGCACAUAAUUUAAUGCAGGAAAGAAGAUUAUCUGUCUUCAUAACAAAGAGAAGUUGGGCAGUCUGACUGUUUUCUUUUGCUUACUUUAUAUCAUCAGAGAGCAUUUUUGACAAUAAAACUGUUAACAGUGUAGAUCAUACAGUCCCAAGGAUACAAACAAAGUGCCUGCCAAUUUGGGUAGAAGCCCAUCCUAUCUCUCUGAGUUUGGAAAUUUGACAUAUUUCUGAUUUCUCACAAUUUUGAAUUUGGAGCAGUUACCAUAUUUGUUUCUCUCAUCAAGCCGUGGUACUCAGGGGAAAA